rnacentral:misc_RNA from 1 species
GUAGAUAAAACACCUCUUUUGAUCUCUGAGCAACGUUGUUGUCCAUUGAGUCGAUGAAGUUGGGUUCCUAAAUUUUAAAAUUAUUUUUUUAUCUUUCCAUAAUUGGAUUUUGUUACAUAUUAUAGGAAGAAGUUUAGGAAUAAAAAGGAGGGAAAGGCUGUUGUAACUGAAGGAGAGUAGCUAAUGACAGUUAUAGAAGUCAAUAAACAGCCGGAAUUGAUUAGUAAACGGCUGGAAUUGAUUAGUAAACAGCUGGAACUGAUUAGAUAAGCAGUCAACUGCUAAAGUGUAUAAAACUGGG